AUUAUAUAACAGGUCUGUAUUCGUUUGCCGUUAAUGAAAAAAGGAACGGAAUUUUUAUAAACCAACUACUGAGUUGUUAUAAAGUGAAGUUGUAAUGUUUGUAUAUGUGGAUAUAAUAAUUGUAAGCGUGUGGUGUGGUGUGGUGGUCUAACGAUACAACUGGCGUCGCCUCUUGGUCCAGCGAUGGUAUACGUCUCAUGAUGACUACGGUGGAGAAUGACUUCGUCCCCAAGGCCGAUCUCAGUUUGUGGAGUGAUAUGUCUGGAUAAUUGCGAUAAUAGCAAUGAUAUUGACCAAUAACGGGUAUUAAUUUGCCGUUAAAGAAAAA